UACGAAGGGGGCUAGCGUUACUCGGAUUGACUGGGCGUAAAGGGCGCGUAGGCGGAUGGUACAGUCAGACGUGAAAUUCCUGGGCUCAACCUGGGGGCUGCGUUUGAUACGUGCUGUCUGGAGUUCGGAAGAGGGUCGUGGAAUUCCCAGUGUAGAGGUGAAAUUCGUAGAUAUUGGGAAGAACACCAGUGGCGAAGGCGGCUCACUGGCUCGUAUCUGACGCUCAGGCGCGAUAGCGUGGGGAUCAAACAGG
rnacentral:rRNA from 1 species